AUACUCUCAACCUUUCUUGGUUUCUUCGACCACGAAGGCUUGGACUUUGGAGGUUUUUCUUGCUGGCCUCUUUUGAAGCCAGCUCCUCCUAAAUGAAUGGGUGGGGUCCGCUUUGCUGAUCCUCGACGUGAUAAGCAUUUCUUCUACGUCUCAGUGUCAGCUCGGAACCCGCUUUCCAACCGUCUUUGGACAAAGACAAUGUUCGAGUUGUGAACUCGACCUUACAAA
rnacentral:misc_RNA from 1 species